rfam:Cavia porcellus supercont2_5 genomic scaffold, whole genome shotgun sequence.
GGGGAUUUAGCUCUGUGGCAUAAGCACCUGCCUUGCAAGCAGGUGGUCGAGAGUUCAAUCCCCA